GGUAUAGAUUUUAUUAUCAGUUUUAUUACUGUUGCUUACAAAGACCUUGAAAACAGAAGGAAUGCACUGAAGUAGGCUGGAGAGGACGCAGGGCAGGGGCUCAGUGCACAGGCUGCUGCCCUAUGGGGCUGCCCCAGUUCUGGAGGCUGGGAAGUCCAAGACCCAAGACGCUGGUUGAUUCAAUUCCUGAUAAAAGCUCUUUUUCUGGCUAACAAGCGGCUGCCAUCUUGCUGUGUCCUCACAUGGUCAAGACAGGGGGAAAGUUUUAUGAAUAGUUUAUUAUCUGGAAAAUGCAGUGAAUAAGGUAAUAAAAGUACCUUAUUACCUUGAUAAGUGGAACUCUUUGGGAGCUAAGAAGACUGUCUUAAUGCAAGAAAAUCUAAAGAGAAAGAACAGCGUUCCUUCGCAGUAACCUAAAGCAAAUGCCUGUGGCUGUUAGAAGUAAAAUAUUUAUUAAGCUGAUGAAAACCAAGUUCAGAGACUUGCUACUUCUCUUCUCUCUGAUCCCAACUUCAUCCCAAAGCUGAACUGGCCUUCGACAGGAUACUUGGCUCUUCCUUGAUAAUUCUGGGCAUCAGAGCCCAAGCUAGAGCUUAAGGUACAGGAAUGUAAAAGGGUUUCAAUCUAAAGUGGAAUUGGAGGACAUGAAAUAGAAAAUCUCAUGCAUGCACCCUCAGAAGAAUGCAUCUAAGAGCUAAGAGACCGAUUUCCCAUAAAUGCCUAACUUAUCGAAGACAGACUUAUCUCUACCAAUGCAUCUCCACCAAGAAUCUCUCCCCAUCCUCAAACCAGUGAACAUACUGCUUGCACUCUGGCUGGACUUCCCUGCCUUUGCAUUCCGUGCCCAUAAAUACAGCCAGCCCCAAACCCUCAAUAGACUCAUCUGUGGUUUGGUAUAACAUGCAUUUUCUAAAUUGCAAUUCCUCUGCUAUUCCUGAAUAUGCACAAUUUCUGACAAUAUGCCCUUGCCUCAGUUUAGUUUACUUCUUUACUUAGCUCGACAAGAGCUUUCAGAGAAUGUUUUUACAAACGGAGAGUGGUACCUGAGAGAUCAUGAGUCUUGCCCAAGGUCACAUAGCCAAUUAUGGCAGAAUUUCUAGCUUUUUGAUUUUACAGUCUGGAAUCUUCUAGUUGUUUUAGUCUAAUCUUAUUGAUGGUUUCUUUUUCCCUUGAUC